AACCGUUGGAGCAGGGUUAUCCGGAAUGAGCUUGGGUCCAGGGGACACUGAGGGGAGAAGGGGAACCUUCUCCAGAACCUCCUGGAGUUUUAACUGUCUAGAGCACUCAAAAUUCCCCAUCUGUGGGAACGCUUGGAUGAGUUUGAAGAGUGAGGAUUUUGGCAAGAGGGGAGGUCAGAAAUCAGGGCUCCUGGAGGAGAGGAAUGGGACCAGCCUGCUUCUGCUUCAACCAUCUCCUCCACGGCUCGGCUGGAACUUCAGGAGACAAACCACGAGGACAGCGGGGGCCUCUGGGUCAACUGCAAUGGCAGGAAUUGCUGCAAAAACAUAACAGAGCUCCACUAGCGGCAGCGGCGGCCGUGGCGCUGGGGCUUGUUUUCCGUCGGAGGCCGGAGCGGAGCCGCGGCGCGUCGGGCUGAGGCUAGCGGGCCUCGCCGCCGCCUCCUCCUCCUCCUCCCCGGCCCC